ACGGGGAAUUAGGGUUCAAUUCCGGAGAGGAAGCCUGAGAAACGGCUACCACAUCUAAGGAAGGCAGCAGGCGCGCAAAUUACCCAAUUUUAACAGCAUAAGAGAGGUAGUGACAAGAAAUAACAGUACAAGGCAGUUAAAAUGCUUUGUAAUUGGAAUGAUAGAAAUUUAAAUACUUUUUAAAGUAUCAAUUGGAGGGCAAGUCUGGUGCCAGCAGCCGCGGUAAUUCCAGCUCCAAUAGCGUAUAUUAAAAUUGUUGCAGUUAAAAAGCUCGUAGUUGAAUUUUUGCUGAAAAUAACCGGUCUGGUUUUAUUAAUAAAAGUGGUAUCUUGGUGUGUUUUUAGCAAUAAUGUCCUUUGAAAUGUUUUUUACUUCAAUGUAAAAGACAAUUUUCGGGAUUUUUACUUUGAGAAAAUUAGAGUGUUUCAAGCAGGCUAACGUUUUGAAUACUGCAGCAUGGAAUAAUAAAAUAGGAUUUUAGUUCUACGUUAUUGGUUUUAAGAACUAAAUUAAUAAUUAAUAGAAGCAGUUGGGGGCAUUUGUAUUUAACUGUCAGAGGUGAAAUUCUU
rnacentral:rRNA from 1 species